GGGAAGAAGCGAGCGAGCGAGUGGGGGCGCGAGGCGUUUACCUGGAGGCAGCGGCUUGGGCGCGCAGAGCGGCCGCGGCUCCCCCGCACCUGCGGCCAUGGAUGAGGAGCGCGCCCUCUACAUCGUCCGGGCCGGCGAGGCGGGGGCUAUCGAGCGGGUCCUGAGGGAUUACAGCGAUAAGCAUAGGGCUACUUUCAAAUUUGAAUCAACAGAUGAAGAUAAAAGAAAGAAACUCUGUGAAGGCAUAUUUAAAGUCCUUUUAAAGGACAUCCCAACAACAUGUCAAGUGUCCUGCCUUGAAGUUCUCCGCAUUCUCUCCAGAGACAAAAAGGUUUUAGUUCCUGUAACAACUAAGGAAAAUAUGCAGAUACUGCUGCGACUAGCCAAGCUAAAUGAGUCGGAUGAUUCUUUGGAGAAGGUGUCAGAGUUCCCAGUUAUUGUGGAGUCAUUAAAAUGUCUUUGUAACAUAGUGUUCAACAGUCAGAUGGCACAGCAGCUCAGCCUGGAACUUAACCUUGCUGCAAAGCUCUGUAACCUCCUGAGAAAGUGCAAGGACCGAAAGUUUAUCAAUGACAUUAAGUGCUUUGACUUGCGCUUGCUCUUCGUCCUGUCACUUUUGCACACCGACAUCAGGUCACAAUUGCGCUAUGAGCUCCAAGGACUACCGCUGCUAACCCAGAUCUUGGAAAGUGCCUUUAGCAUCAAGUGGACCGAUGAAUAUGAAUCGGCCAUAGACCGUAAUGGACCUCCUCUCUCACCUCAGGAGACAGACUGUGCCAUUGAGGCCCUCAAAGCUCUCUUCAAUGUGACGGUAGACAGUUGGAAGGUGCAUAAAGAGGGUGAUUCUCAUCAGUUUCGUGUCAUGGCAGCUGUUCUUCGCCAUUGUUUACUAAUCGUAGGUCCAACUGAAGACAAAACAGAAGAGCUACACAGCAAUGCAGUCAACCUUUUAAGCAAUGUUCCAGUCUCUUGUUUGGAUGUUCUCAUUUGUCCAUUAACCCAUGAAGAAACAGCCCCAGAAGCAAGGACGCUAGAUGAACUGCCCAGUGAUAAAACAGCUGAGAAAGAAACAGUUUUGAAAAAUAAUACCAUGGUAUACAAUGGUAUGAAUAUGGAGGCCAUUCAUGUUUUACUUAGUUUUAUGGAGAAGAGAAUAGACAAGGGAAGCAGCUAUAGAGAGGGUCUAACUCCAGUUCUCAGCUUAUUAACAGAAUGUUCCCGAGCCCAUCGAAACAUCAGAAAAUUUCUCAAAGAUCAGGUUUUACCACCAUUAAGGGAUGUGACAAAUCGACCUGAAGUUGGCUCAACUGUGAGAAAUAAGCUGGUGCGCCUCAUGACACAUGUUGACCUGGGAGUCAAGCAAAUUGCUGCUGAAUUCCUUUUUGUCCUUUGCAAAGAGAGAGUGGAUAGCCUGCUGAAAUACACUGGCUAUGGGAAUGCUGCAGGACUGUUGGCGGCCAGGGGCCUCUUGGCUGGAGGAAGAGGAGAUAAUUGGUACUCAGAGGACGAGGACACAGACACUGAAGAAUACAAAAAUGCAAAACCAAACAUUAAUCUUAUCACUGGUCAUUUAGAGGAACCAAUGCCAAACCCCAUAGAUGAAAUGACAGAAGAACAAAAAGAAUAUGAAGCCAUGAAACUUGUCAACAUGCUUGAUAAACUUUCCAGGAGAGCAGAUGUGAACGACCUGCACCAGGAUGGUGGUUAGCAACAGUGGCCCGUGCCAAAGCACUUACCAAAGUGAUGACUAAGACCCUGUCAUUAAUUCCAUGUGUCAAUACUGCCCUGUAGUACACAGAGCAGACAAGAAAGAAGAGCCCUUGAAAACAAGGGAAUGAUUUUUGAGUCGUUAUCAAGCUAAGUGGCAAGCGGGAAGCUGAAACUCGUAUAGUUGAACAUUCUUGGAGGCUUAUCUCUUCCCUGGCCAGAUGCCUGAUCAGAUGAGAAGCCCGCCAUGAUACUGUCACAGUGCCUAGAAUGGGCUCUUUAUCCAGUAGACAUCACUGUACUUUUUGAUGAUAACGAGGGCAGUCUUAACUUGUGUUAAGGCCUGUGUAUAGCAUUGAAGAGAGGAGUUGCUUAAACCAAUGGGACUAAAACCUGAUGGGACAAUAACGCCUUUGGAGGAAGCACUCAACCAGUACUCUGUCAUCGAGGAGACCAGCUCUGACACAGACUAAAAGCAUCACCUGCUCAACUCUCAGUAUUGCUUUUAUCAGCAUCUUUUCUCUGUAGCUCCAGGGGAAUCUUUUCUCUAAAACAUUUAUGCCCUUGCUUUGGCUAGAAACACAUUAACUGGUUUACUCAUUGAGAAUCCAGCAUAUUUAAGAAGUGAUCCUGUGUUUUGCGAUAUUGAGGCAUUCAUACAGAGCUGCAGUUAGACGGAGUUGCAGAGACUAGGAACAGGAAAAAAAAAAUUCCAUUUUGUCAAGAUGGAACUGAAGGACUUCACUCUAUAAAGCAGCCCUGGUUGAAUCUGGCAGUUCUGUUUGCCAAGAUUCUAAAGAAGAUUUAGCCGUGUCCUUCCUCUCACUUGUGUGAGCUGCCCUUUCUGAAUCUCUCCAGAGACAGAGGCAUGUGAGAAGCAGAACGAGCUGCUAAAAAGGGGCUGAGGCAAGUGACUUGUUAGAUCAGGACUGAGUGAAUGGAAGCCAAGCAGCAGCUGCUCCAUAAACAUAGCCCCACUCUUCAUUUCAAUUUUGUAUAAAUCUAUAGAAAUGCACACACACGCACACACACACAACAGCCCCAGACUUGCAAACUGAUUACAUUCAAAAAGUUUGUAUGUCAGUUAUCUAGAACUUCAGAAUACAUUUCUCCCUAUAAAGUUAUAAAUGAUGGUUUAGUUCUGAGGCAGCUACAAAUGCCUAUUUAUUCCCUAAUAACCUGAACACUAGUACCAUAGAACUGAACCCCCAUCUGUAUCACUGCAUGGGGAACAUGCAUUCUGAGGUCUAACAUAGGGGUGCCUCCAACCUGGUAGAGGGAAUGGGGACCCCCUGGGUACGGGGGGGCCUUUUGAGCCCUCUGCUGAGGGUGGGGGAGUCAGCAGCACCCAUUUGUACAUAUAGGUCACUCAUAUGUCACAUGUUUUAAAUUGGGGACUGUGUGUGCUUGUGUGUGUGUCCUACCUUUCUACCAUAUGUGAUCAGUUUAAUGGUAACUUUAUUUAUUUAAAAAAGAAACACAAAUAGUUACUGUUAAACUGAUUAAGCCUGUUUAUUUUUACUUUUAGAAUUGGUCAUAUGACGAAGUAGAAAAUGAAUCAUGCAAAUAGACAGUGGGCCUAGUUAAUCAAUGGCUAAAGUUGAAAAGGGGUUGGUUUCCUUUUAUAUAUAUAUAUGUAUGUAUAUACAUAUAUAUAUAUAUACACACAUAAUGUGCUUAACCACUGCCUUUUAAAACUUUAAAUUAAAUAAAACAUUGGGGUUGAUUCAAUUUAGCUAUCUGUGUGUGUUUCUUUAUAGAUACGUGGGGUAAACAAUCCUAUUUCACAGUUUAUGCUUUUUUAAAGUGCUUUUACAUCUGUUAUCUCACUUAUAAUAAAUAGCCUUUCUAAGGAUAAAGUACAUGAAGUAUUAGUGAAAAUGUCAUUUAUCCAGAAGUCACUUCUCUGGCAAAAGUACAAAUCAGGAAUUCAGUUUUAAAAAGCCUUAGAGCUGCCAAAAGAGAUGGCAAAGUUUCUUACAAUUUAUUUAUAGGAGAGAUCCUCAAGAAUCUCACCUUGUGCCUCUUUACUAAAAUUUGCAUAUACUUCUAACAUGUUUAGUUAUCUGACUUCCAAGCCCACAAAAAAAUGGCAAAGGAGGCGGCUGUUAGAUGGAAAGCAGACCUACUGAAAGCAGCAAAAAGCCAACUGAAAACCGGAUAGGAAUGUGGGGAGAAUGAAAACUACUCAAGGCGUCAUAAGUCUGGGACCAUCUGUUUCCUAAAGGACAUUCUAGUUGACCCAGAAAGUAUCUGUACAACAGUAUGGCCUAUAAACUAUUCUCAUAACGAUGACCUUGUGUUUCUUUUAAAAAAUAAGAAUACUCUAUAAAAAGACUAGGAAGAAUACAUUUUAGGAUUUUUUAUCCAAAAUAGUUGGGAGUAUAAGUUAUGUGUGACCCAUGUUUUAACAGUAAAUAAAAUGAAACUUGGUAAUUCAUAAUUUUAGAUUAAAUGAAAAAAAGUUUAGAAAAAAGAAUUUAAGUAUUUUUGUUACUUCAUUCUACAAAUGCAUUUUUAAAGUAUUUUUAUAAUUUCUGCAAUUAAAUAGCUUUGGCAUGAGUGUCGGCUUACCUAAAUGAAGACAUGUUUAAUGAAAUACCAUCUUGCCAGCUUUAUGCAGAGUGUUUGAACAGUCCUGUUUAAGUAGCUGUGCUCUUCUGCUUUCAAUGAGUUCUGUUUCAUUUUGAGUUUCCCCAUACUGGGCACUAAGCUUUGUUUUGAAGAGAGAAUUUGCAGAGGGAGAAGAUGAAAGUGACCUCAUCUUGCACACGGAAAAGAGAACUAACAUCUGUUGAUUGCUUGCUCUGUGCUGGGCUUUUUAUGUAUCUUAUCUUGUGUAAAGUCAUCACAUCUCAUAUUAAGAGAUCAUCUCUGGAAAGCAGAGUAAGUUACCUAACAUCACAGAGCAAGUAAAAAUCCAACUCUGGCCGGCCUGACCCCCAGCACCUCUCCUUACCCUUCAUGCUGCCCACCUGGGUCCAUGUUGUGCCCCCUUAUGACUCUGGAAUGCUGGGAGAGUGGUAAUUCUCAGGCCAUUUUAAGCAAUAACUAUUUCAGCAGAACUGGUUUAAAGAACUUAUUAAACAGGGAGGUGACCUGAAUGAAGUUGAAGUGUGAGUAGGAAACUUGCUCAGUUAGUACUGGAUUUCAAAUAAGGAAGGACCUGGAAUCCUUUAGGUCAGAGAUGAGGGCUGCAGGCUCUCCCCCAGCCCCCGUGCCCCAACCACCCUGACCCUCGACAUCUACCUGGCUCGGUGGCCUGCAGUGGGGAUGGUGAGAAUAUACUGGCCAACUGCACUCUGCAGGCCCCUGUGUCCACAUCCCUCCCAACCUUUAAAACAGGGUAUGGAGGAGCGGGUUCUAAAAUAAGGCACUUGAGCUGCUGCUUUAGAGUAACAGUCAACAGACACUUGAGGCCCCUUCACACACCGGGUGGUCCUAGCAAGUGCACAGGAUGGGUGUUAUUGUCCCUCCUUUAUAAAUGAAGACAUAGGCAGAGGCAGUACAAGUACUCAACAUCCCCUUACUACCAUCAGUCUUGCCGCCUCCCAGUACUAGGUGUCUCUUAUAUUGACCUCCCUUCCCCUCCCCCCCAUUAUAAAAGUAAUAUAUGUUCAUUGUGGAAAGUUUGGAGAAUACAGGAAAUAAUAAAGUUAAUAAUUCACCCCAAAACCCAC